rnacentral:rRNA from 1 species
GGCGGACGGGUGAGUAACGCGUGGGAAUCUACCCAGUAGUGGGGGACAACUACCGGAAACGGUAGCUAAUACCGCAUACGCCCUAUGGGGGAAAGGCUUCGGCCGCUAUUGGAUGAGCCCGCGUCAGAUUAGCUAGUUGGUAGGGUAAAGGCCUACCAAGGCAACGAUCUGUAGCUGGUCUGAGAGGACGAACAGCCACACUGGGACUGAGACACGGCCCAGACUCCUACGGGAGGCAGCAGUGGGGAAUAUUGGGCAAUGGGCGAAAGCCUGAUCCAGCAAUGCCGCGUGUGUGAAGAAGGCCUGCGGGUUGUAAAGCACUUUCAGUUGGGAAGAUGAUGACGUUACCAACAGAAGAAGCACCGGCUAAAUCCGUGCCAGCAGCCGCGGUAAUACGGAUGGUGCGAGCGUUAAUCGGAAUUACUGGGCGUAAAGCGCGC